UACGUAGGGGGCUAGCGUUGUCCGGAAUCAUUGGGCGUAAAGCGCGUGUAGGCGGUUCGGUAAGUCCGCUGUGAAAGUCGGGGGCUCAACCCUCGAAAGCCGGUGGAUACUGUCGGGCUAGAGUCCGGAAGAGGCGAGUGGAAUUCCAGGUGUAGCGGUGAAAUGCGUAGAUAUCUGGAGGAACACCGGUGGCGAAGGCGGCAUCCUGGACCGGCAUUGACGCUGAGGCGCGAAAGCUAGGGGAGCAAACGGG
rnacentral:rRNA from 1 species